AUGACCGGCUUGCUCGGGAAGUUGGUUGAGGGGUGGACGUCCCUCAGUGCCUCUGACAGCGACGCGGUUGCGAGGCAGUUCACUUCAUUUGUCCCAGAACGUACACAUCGACCAACCGGUUGCCGUGGCCGGUAUGACUACAACAGUUCCCAAGAGCCCGGUGACACACAAGAUGAUGUAGAUGGAGACGCUAGCCUCAGCAAGGAUGACGACGAUGACAUAGAUAAUGUGCAUCAGGACACGGAUGACGAUGAACAUGCUGAAGUUCGCACAGGCGGCAACAAGGGCAAGGAUGCAACAGAUGCCCCCCCCCCCACCGGAGAAAGUGAUAGAACAUACGGAUGCGAGAGGCGAGGGGGUGUUGCCAUCAAGGAGGGGGAGGGCUCCAGAUGA
rnacentral:rRNA from 1 species